UACUGAAAGGAAGAGGAGUUUAACAGUCUAGCUUAAUUUCACAGUUUAUAACUAGACACAACAAAAGUGAGGAAAUUCAACAAAUCUGGGACUUUCUGGUGUUUCUUUAAGUGUCAAUGUACCAAUUCAUUAGUUUGCUUAUGAAGUGUAUGAUUUCAUCAUUCCCUGUUUAUGAAUCAGCCAUGGUUUUUUAAUUUAUCUAUGCUAUUAUUGACUGUGCUGGUGCAUUCAGCUACACAAUUCAUAAGUAAACUAAGUAGGACACGAACUUAAACACCAGAACUAAAAACUAUAGAUUUAAUCGAUGCGAGGUUAGGAAAGAGUAGAGUGAACCAUGUGUACACUGAGCAAAUGUGAUCCAUUUACAAAGGGUGUGUGUGUGUGUGUGAUUCUGUCAGUCUCUCUGACUGACUGUUAGUCCCUAUUUGUAUGUCCGUGUAUUUGUUUCUCAUCCUAUUUUUUAUUUCUUUUAGUGUGUUCUUUUUGUUUCAUUCUUGUUCGUUUUCUUCUUUAUUCACCUGUUUGUUUUCUUAAGAGAGAGAUAAAGAAGCUGAGAAAGUGGUAAGUCUAGGAAGGUAAGGAUAAUCUAGGAGGAGUAGGGAAGGGAAAAUUAUGAUCAGAGUAUGUUACAAGAAAAUAACUUUAUUUUCAAUAAAAAUUGAAAUAAAUUAAAUAAAAAAACUUACAGUAGUGUUUCUCAGACUGACAAUGAGCCACAAGUAGCCUUUCUUCUCAGGCCUCCUAGAGAUACCUAAGAAACCGGCAAUGGUAACGAAAGGGUUCUUGCAUUUUAUUUUUGUUUUCAUUUUUGUCCCUUAAGAAAUCUCAGAUACUCUUUUAUGUUACCAUUGUACUUAGAAAGAUAUUCAUUUUUUCCCUAAAAACACACAGGAGAAGAAAUCAUCCAGCAGAUGAAAUACAAGAGUGGUUUUCAAGGGCUGCAGAGAUGACUCAAUCAUUAAGGCUAGGCCCACUAGGCUUCAAGAGGGAGUUCAAAGAAAAGAUUUGUUCACUAAAACAUCUUAAACUCUCUUGUUCUUGACAACCUUUAUUUAUUUAUUUAUUAUUUAUUUAUUUAUUUAUUUAUUUAUUUUGUCUUUGAGGGAUGGGAAGACACACAAAAACUUUUAAAGUAGUAUGGAAGUCAGGAAAAAAGCUCCACAAAUGAGUUCUCUCCUUCUACCAUGAGUCCUGCUAACUGAUCCCAAGUAAUCAGGCUUGGCAACAAGCCCCCUUACCCACUGAGCCAUCUCUCUUGCCCUUGUACCUGUCAUUCUAAACCUAAGAGCCAUCCUUGCCUUGGCAGGGACAGGUUUAUGCUGACACUCUUUAUUCCUCAUAGAGGUGACAAGCUUUGACACCUUUCCUAAAAGAUGACUGUUAACUUGCUUUUCAGAAAACAGAGAGGAAUUCCUUCAAUUACUAUGGAAUUGAAGAUGAUACAGGGACAAUGGAAGUGGUGGUCUAUGGAAGACUGACCAGUAUAAAGUGUGAGCCAGGCCAAAAACUUCGACUCAUCUGUUUUGAAUUGUCCUCAAGCGAAGAUAAACCGCAGCUGAAGUCUGUAAGACACAGUAACAUGCAGGUCGUCAAUGUCAGAAAGAAAAUCCCUCAAGCCUGAUUCAGAUCUGAAAACCUGGAUGCCAAGGAUACUGUUUAUGGAGAUAAGAUCCAAGUCCAGAAAAUACAUGUACAUGUGAACUGUUGCAAUACCAUAUCUAUGAAAGUCAGCUCCUUUUUUAAUGUUUUUCCAGGACAGGAUUUCUUCGUUUUGUCCUUGCUGUCCUGGAAACCACUUUGUAGACCAGGCUGGCCUUAAACUCAGAGAUCUACCUGCCUCAGCCUUCUGAGUGCCUGGAUUAAAGGUUUGCGCUGCCACCAUCAGACCUGCUCUUAAUUCUAGGAAAUGGUACUUUCUUAUAUUCUUUAUAAACUUUUGUGUGAUCUAAGUUCCAUGUUUUUAUCAACAAUUUUUAUACUUAUUAAUCUGUAAGUUUUACUUAUAAAACUUAAAUAUAAAACCACAUUUUCAAUAAAGCAGUGCUUCCUUGGGAAUAUCUGUUAGCCAUUUGAGAAUUGCUGUAAAAUCAAAAGUAUAGAAGACAUGCUUCAUGUGUGAUGUUAAGGACAAAACAUGUCAAAGAACAAGUGGAACACAUCCGCCCCAGAAAAACCAAGGCAUUAAUAGACACAGAAGAUUGAAUUCAGCCUUGAGUGCCAUUUCCAAAGCUAGUGUGCUGAGGACAGGGCAAGUCUUCAGGCCCUUUUUGCUCAACAAAUUUGAGUGUUUCAUAGAGUUUAAUUAUUGGAGCAAAGAAUCCACAGAAGUGAGGUGUCAUGAAUGGGGAAUAUUAUUUGCAUUAGUAUGGAAUCUCAACUCAAAUUCUAGAAUGAAAUAAUGUCACUGGAAACCUUGAGAUCAAAAUGACAAAGCCCUGUGGUAAAGAAAUUAAGAAAAUAGUCAGGAUUUCCAGAGAGGCCUUUCUGGAGUAUUGUUUGCUUCUCUUACUGCUGUGAAAAGGUACUGACUGCUGCAGGAGCUCAUUCAGCACCUUGAGCCAAUAGCCUUUAAGAUACCAGCCCACUUGGGCAUGAUCUCUUUUGUUUUAAAAAGCCGAAGUAGCCCUGCUCUUUCUCUCUUGCUUCUGGCUCCUAGACUCAGUUCCUGAUGGUGCAGACGGCCAUUGUCUAGGACAGUGAUCUGUAAGUUUUCCACUUAAAUAAAUAAUCCUUUUAUUAAUCAUAA